GGUAAACGUUCAGAGUUUGGAUGCCUUCUAUUGAAAAGCCAUCCUCCCGGUAUCAACCGACAACCGAUAAAAUUUAGGUCUAUAUAGUUAUCUCGUGAAGGGCGGAAGAGGAAGAACUAAAAUGAAUUGGUAGACGAUGAAGAAACAGUGGACCUGAUCCUCUGUGAUUUUGAACUCGAUGAUAUAUCUUAGAGAAGUCAAUUUUGGUUACAGAAAUACUAUUUGGCAUGGCAAGUUUCAACUUGAAGAGGAAUUGAAUUGUAGGUCAAAUUGAGCUAGGUAUUGGACUCUGGAAAGCAGGUAAUUUAAGGAUGCGAGCAAGAGGUAUUUCUUAUUAACACUGCGAUUUGUUCCAUUAUUAUCCUUGUCUUUUUUCAAAGAAAAUGGAUCAGGUAAUUUUUUUUAGAGAAAAUGAGAUCGUUGUGUUCUUAAUUUGAUUACGAUAGAAGUUUCAUAUUAUAUGAGAUUAUUAGCUUAGGUUUUAAGUUUAGCAGGGCUUUCUCUAUUCCAGUGGUUUCCUAGUUUCAGGGGAUCUUUCCAGUGAUGUUACUUUUAUAUAUAAAGCGUUGGAAGUUGGAGUUGAUUUAAGGAUCACAUCGUAUCACAUAAUAAUAUAUUUCGUUUGAUGGUAGGAUUAGCCUUUAUCCUCUUUGGUUAAAUAUAUUAGUUAUACUACUAACUUUACAAAUUCAUUAAAGAAGGGAAAAACAUAAAACAUUUUGAAAAUCAUAAUAAAGUAAAAUAAAGUGCCUACUUUCCUACGAUAUAUCUCACUAGUUCACUCACUUCUUUUGUCUCUUGUUAUCCUUUCGAGCUUUCUGAAAUCGAUUGCGUGCUUACAUAUCUUGUGAACUUAGAGGUGUAGAGGUGGAGGUGUAAACGGUGUAAGGGAAAAUAUAGGAAUAAGAGAAGGCAUGGCUUUAGUAAAGUUAUUAUUCACUUCAACAUCAGAUGCAUUGUUUUGCUCUCUUGCUUCAAGUACAUUAAUUGCUUCCUCAAUAUCCAGAGUUUACAUCCCAUUCCUAAACUGAAUUUCGUAAUCUCCUGUUUGUCUUGCAAGGAGGCUGAUUUUAGUGAAUGUGUACUAGUUUUACUAGUUUUUCAUCCUCAUCGACAAGCAAUUUGUUUCUUUCUAUCUUACAAAUGUAGCUAUAAGUGCUCAAACACCUUUCCGCACAACAUGUGUUCACACUUUAAGACAACACUUGCAUUACUAACUUAUAAAGUUCUGGUGGUCCUCCAUCGUUUAGACCUCACCAUUGUGUUGCAUCCUUGCUCUAUCUUCUACAGUUUGUGGGCAUGCGGAAACGCUUUUGUUAUUCACAAAAAUGCUGAUUUGGUGUCUUAUAAUCAUAGCUUCAUCCCGUACUGGAAUCAUUUUGUUUAUUGCAGCUAAAUACCCGUCUUGAACCUUUUUGUCAAAAUUCGGCUUCUUCUUACUAACACCACCAAGAGCUGAUUUCAUUAGCCAAGAGUUUGUGUAAAUUUCGUGGCAAAUAUAUCAUAAAUCACAAGAUUGUUUACAAGAGUAUCUUGUAACAGUUUGUCUGCAUUACUCCAAAAUUGUCAUACAUCAUAAUUGCAGUAAUUCCUGCACGGUCUUAUGUAUUGUAGUAAUUCCUGCACGGUCUUCGGUAUUAAUUGUAGUAUUUUCUUGAUCUCUUUCCAUGUAGUCAUUUCUACAUCAUCCUAUAACGGAUCUCAUUCAUUCAUUUCUACAAUCAGAUGAAUGAAAAGAGAUCAAGAAACCCGCAAAUGCAGAAGACCUUUAAAUCACUAGAAAUUUUCAUGAAUGGUAACUUUUUUAGAGUAAUGGAGAGGAAGUGUUGCGAAUAACGAAGCCAAUUUGGAUGCUUAGAUUUUCAUAUUUCAACAAAACUGUUAUUCUAAAAGCAUAUGACAAAUGGAUACGAUGCUAGGCAUGUUAUAAGUUACUCUUGCAGAUGAUUUUGUCAAUUAUGAUAUAGUUCACGAGAUUGUGGUCCAGCAAUGAAGCAAAAUGAAUAUCUCGUUGCAUUGUUCGGCUUAUAUACUUUCCCUUAAGUAUCAUACAAACUCUUGGAUGGUGAAACCAGCUCCAGAUGGUGUUAGUAAGAAGAUGCCAAAUUUUUGGUAAAAAGGUUUAAAAUGGGUAUUUAGAUGUAAUGGACAGUAUUUUCCAGUGCAGGACGAAGCUGCGAUUAUAAAAUACCAAAUCAGUGAUUUUAUAAGUAACAAAGUGUUUUCACACGCCGACAAGCUGUAAAAGAUAGAGCAAAGAUGAGCACAACAUAAUGGUAGGGCUUAUACGGUGUAAGAGCACCAAAACUUUAUUAUUUAGCCGUGGGAGUGUUGUCUCAAAGUGUGAAUACAUCUUGUGCGGAGAGGUGUUGGAGCAAUUAUAGGUACAUUCAUAGUAUAAAGAGUAACAAAUGGGCGUUGAUAGGGCUGAAAAAUUAGUGUAUGCUCAUCAUAAUCAACUUCUCCUUGUUAGGCUAAGAGGAGAUUACGGAACCCAGUACAGAAAUUAGAAUUUAAACUCUCAAGUAGACACAUUAAAGAAGCUAUUGAAGUAAUCAAAGCAACAUUGUGAAACUAUAUAUAUGACGUUGAAGCAAAUUAAUUUACUAAAGCCAUACCUCCUCCUCCAUCCUCCCCUGCACCUAUACCUCCACCCCAAGUUUACGAACAUGAUACAAAAGCACAAUGUCGGUUUCAGAAUGCUCGAAACAAAAAUAAGAGACAAAAGAAGUGGAUGAAUGAGAUAAAUUACUGCACUAAAUUUUCUAAGAGCAUCUCCAACAGUGGGUGUUAAAAAUCCUACGUGGAAUUUUUAUUUAGAUCCUUAUUUAUGGGGUUAUAUGUAUGUGGCAAAAAUUGUGAUGCUUUGCUUAUGAACUAUCUCCAAUGGUGGGGGUCAUAUUUCUAAGAUUUGUUAUUUUGGAUAAUGAUAAAAUUGAUUCCCUUUUUCCUAUUGGUUUAGAAAAUUUUAUUUAAAGAUAAAUAUUUUAUUAAAAAGAUGACAUGGUGGUCAUUUCCAAUGUCUAUAUAAGACUUUCUCUAAGACCUUCAUAUUUAUUUUGACACCCUUCCUAAUUAAUAGGACCUACUGUUUGAGAUGCAUUUUAUGUAAAUGAGGGUCUAAAAUCCAAUGUGUCUUAAGAAAAUAAAUUUUUCACCCUCGAUUGGAGAUGCUCUAGGUAUCUAACGUUUUUCUCGUAUUUUUUCUUGAUUAAUUUUGGAAAAUUAUUAAUAUAACUAAUAUAUGCUAUAAAUUUAAUUUACGUUCUCGAUACGUCCCUCGAAUUUGAGUGUUACGACAUUUUACAGUUCUCGAUUUCGUUCCUAACCCCUCUCAUGGUUACUAAGGUUAUAUGUUUUUGUCUUCUUUCUUGAUUAUGCAUUUGGAAAAUUAAUAGAAUAAUUAUUAUAUCUAUAACAUCUAAUUUUCGCUUCCAACACGCCCAAAUUUGACUCUUCAGAAGUUUUAUGAUUCUUGAUUGUGUUCCCGGCCUGCUCCUGCUACUGGUAACUAAGCUCUAGCCUUAAGUGAGACAUUUGAGAAUUGCUCAACCAGGAUCAAGUACUCUGGUACAUGUUUCUGUCACCAAAGCCAAAUAGGUGAACUCUUGAAAUUGCUGCGUAGAGCAUAUGUACUCUGAUAUGGCCUUUGUCGCAGAGUGAGAUCUCCAUGCUUCCAGAUCAUCAAACUGCAACCAUCCCAGAAAAGCUUUGCAACAGAGAGAGAGAGUACUAAACGAUUCCACAAGAAGGAAAUCAGAUACCCGUUGGUGUUCCAGACUGUGAGGCCACCAAGCAUGAAGCUGAGUACCACAUACAAGCCAGACAGAUCUAACCUGUUUAAGUAAGUCUUUGCUGUUUAGAUGUUUGUCUGGGAAUUCCUGGGAACUUGCUAACAUUUAUAGUUCGUGGUACAUAUAUAUAUAUAUAUAUAUAUUUUUUAAAAUCAGAAUCGUAGUAGAAUCUUGCUUCUUUCUAAUUGUACCUCUUCUUAUUAGUUUCUUGGCAGUUUUGGUGUGAGACUGAGAAGUGGGAGUUCAGAUGAUUUUUACUGCAUGCUAGUGUGUUACAUUUUAAAUUUCUAAGAAUUUUGAGCUUUCUUUUGUUGGUAGUU